rnacentral:rRNA from 1 species
UACAGAGGGUGCAAGCGUUAAUCGGAAUUACUGGGCGUAAAGCGUGCGUAGACGGUUAUUUAAGUCAGGUGUGAAAGCCCAGGGCUCAACCUUGGAAUUGCAUUUGAGACUGAAUAGCUAGGGUGCGGAAGAGGGAAGCGGAAUUUCCGGUGUAGCGGUGAAAUGCGUAGAUAUCGGAAGGAACACCAGUGGCGAAAGCGGCUUCCUGGUCCAGCACCGACGUUCAGGCACGAAAGCGUGGGAGCAAACAGG